ACGCACGUGUGAAACUUGAAGGAAUUGACGGAAGGGCACCACAAGAACGCGUGGAGCAUGUGGCUUAAUUUGACCCAACGCGGGAAAUCUUACCGGGUCCGGACACACUGAGGAUUGACAGGCAAUAUUAAAAAAAUUAAGUAAUUUCGGUUAUUUAAUUAUUUUAUGUUAAAUAUGCUAGUCCUUUCAUGAUUAUGUGAUAGGUGGUGCAUGGCCGUUCUUAGUUCGUGGAGUGAUCUGUCUGCUUAAUUGCGUUUCACUAAGGGCUUAUAAAUUUACGUGUGUUGUGGGUACUUUGACCCCUAUAUUGAAAUAUAUAUAGUGCGCGUCUCAGUUUGCUUCACUCACACAAUUAAGUCCUGAAAGCAACGAACGUGACCG
rnacentral:rRNA from 1 species